AGGAAAGNCAGGGGAUCGCAAGACCUUGCGCUUUUGGAGCGGCUGAUGUCUGAUUAGCUAGUUGGUGAGGUAAAGGCUUACCAAGGCGUCGAUCAGUAGCUGGUCUGAGAGGACGACCAGCCACACUGGGACUGAGACACGGCCCAGACUCCUACGGGAGGCAGCAGUGGGGAAUUUUGGACAAUGGGGGAAACCCUGAUCCAGCCAUGCCGCGUGAGUGAAGAAGGCCUUCGGGUUGUAAAGCUCUUUCAGCCGGAACGAAACGGUCACGGCUAAUACCUGUGACUACUGACGGUACCGGAAGAAGAAGCACCGGCUAACUACGUGCCAGCAGCCGCGGUAAUACGUAGGGUGCGAGCGUUAAUCGGAAUUACUGGGCGUAAAGCGUGCGCAGGCGGUUUUGUAAGUCAGAUGUGAAAUNCCCCGGGCUUAACACUGGGAACUGCGUUUGAAACUACAAGGCU
rnacentral:rRNA from 1 species